rnacentral:rRNA from 1 species
AGGAUGAACGCUGGCGGCGUGCUUAACACAUGCAAGUCGAACGAUGAAGCAGAGCUUGCUCUGUGGAUUAGUGGCGAACGGGUGAGUAACACGUGAGUAACCUGCCCUUGACUCUGGAAUAAGCGUUGGAAACGACGUCUAAUACCGGAUACGAGCUUCCGCCGCAUGGUGAGGAGCUGGAAAGAAUUUCGGUCAAGGAUGGACUCGCGGCCUAUCAGGUAGUUGGUGAGGUAAUGGCUCACCAAGCCUACGACGGGUAGCCGGCCUGAGAGGGUGACCGGCCACACUGGAACUGAGACACGGUCCAGACUCCUACGGGAGGCAGCAGUGGGGAAUAUUGCACAAGUGGGCGCAAGCCUGAUGCAGCAACGCCGCGUGAGGACGACGGCCGUUCGGUUAGUAAACCGUUCGUUUUAAGGUAGGAAGAAGGGUCGUUCGGUCGUGACGGUACUGACAAGAAAACGCACCGCUAACGUACGU